GAAAGACGAUCAAACAAUUCCCAAUCAUGGUCCUUGCGGAUCGGAUCAUCCAUAUAAUAUACAAAAAGAAACUCCAGAUAUUUGAUAUCUUUUUCUUUGAAUGAGAUCUCAAUUCCAGCAACGGUUUCAUUAGAUAUCUUACAACUAGAAUCCCUCUUUUUUCCGAUCCAGUUCCUCCACCACCGCGAACCCCAGUUAGAUUCAGACAUGAUACACUUUUUAGUUAUUGGGAGAACCCAAGUACUCUCUUUCAGAUCCAGGAAAA
rnacentral:misc_RNA from 1 species